ensembl:lncRNA
GGCUAAGAUCGUGCAAGUCAUGGUGAGGCCAGACAAAAUUUAAAAAAAAAUUUAAUUAGAUGACCUUCAGACAGAGAGGUUAUCCUUGGUUAUCCAGAUGUGUGUAAUGCAAUCACAUGAACCCUUAAAACUGAAGAGGGAGGCAGAAGCAGAAACCACAGAGGCUCAAAGCAUGGGAAAGAUCUGGUGUACUGUUGUUUGUUCGAGGAGGGAGGGAAUCAUGUCACCGGGAAAUGGCAACCACUGUCCUCUAACCACCAGAAACUGAAUUCUGUCAAUAACCAGUAAGUCUGAAAGAGGAACCUCCCUCAGCUGCCAGUGAGAACCUAGUCCUGGCCAAUACUUUGAUUUUAACCCAGUGAGACCUUAAGAAGAGAACCAAGCCACGCCGUUCCAGACAUCUGACCUAGAGAAAGAGUGAGGCUUGUGUAAGACUGCUACAUGUGUGAUAAUUUGUUACACAUGAGUACAAAAGUAAUACAGUCAGUAAAGAAAGGCUCAAAGUAAUAGUUACUAAAGAAGAGCAGGGCGGGAAGAAUAUGCCAGCGUUUCAGGGAUUGAGAGGUGUUUGCAAUGUACAAGGGAGCUGCCCUGGCGGUUCAGUCUGCAAAGAAUUCGCCUGCAGUGCAGGAGACAGCUUCCAGCCCUGGGUCUGGAAGAUCCCCUGGGGAAGGAAAUGGAAUGUAUGAGGAGAAGAGAGAAGAGAGGGAAAGAUGAGAUGAGGAAGUAUGUGGAAGAAAUAGUAUUCGGCCAGCUGAUAUUUCACCCGACCUCAGGCCACUGAACUCCCUUGCCUGGCCUCCUGCAAGGUCAGCUUGGUGUUUUCAUUGCCUUUGCAGGGCUAGAACUUUUACUUCACCACAGCUACCAAAAGAUCUAAAUUAUGGUACCAGGGCAGGGGCAUGGCCCGUACUGGCCCAGGCUUAAUCUAAGAGCUACACAAAGGAGAGAGGGCUCAGAUCUUUCUCAAGUUGUCCAGGUGGUCAUCUGUAUCUGCAAGUUUUCCAUCCACAGAUUUGGAGAGCUGUCCUCACGGUACUAUGCUAGUUUAUAUAAGGGCCUUAAGAGUCCAUGAAUUUUGGUAUCAGUAGAGGUCCUGGAACCAGUCCCUCCCAGGGAUAAUGAAGGGUGUGCUCCAAUAGAAUGUAGAAUUUCCCUUUAUAUUGGAGAAUUAUAGGCUAUAAGGGGCCAGGUCAAUAUGACCAGUGGCUUUGUAUGACCAGAUCAGUAUACCCAGUGGCUUUUAUCAGCUGAAGUCUUCAUAUUGGUUUAUAGAAUGGGUCCUGCUCUUCUCUGAGAAUAGAAUGAAGAUUCAGGUCCAUUUGGCCAGCACAUACCAAGAAAAACUAAAUUGGGUUAGAGAGUCCCUUAACUGAAUCCCUGCAUAAAGGGCAUGUUACAGUUCAUUAAUGAGAAAAUGAUGAGCACUUACUAUACACCAAAAUAUAUGUGCAUAUUAGAGCUUUAGAAGUACAAUUGACCAAGAAUUUUUCCACACCUUUGGGAUUUUGUCAGUCUAAAUAAAGAAGUAAACUGGAACAAGCUCCAAUGACCAGAAAUUGAGUUUAUUUGGAAAUAGCAGAUGAAUUGCAAUUCAGAAAACAUGUACUAAUUAUGAUUGGACUUUUCUGCGGAAUAUCUAGCCAGGAGACCUGAAUCUGCUUGCAAUAAAGAAGAGAAAGUUAAAAAAAAAAAACCAAAACAGAGGACAUGUGCUGUAGCAAGUUACAGCAUAAUUUGAAGAAGCUUAUCAAGCUUAUCAAGUCAAAGCUAUGGUUUUUCCAGUAGUCAUGUACAGAUGUCAGAACUGGACCAUAAAGAAGCCUGAGUGCUAAAGAAUCGAUGCUUUUGAACUGUGAUGUUAGAAAAGACUCUUGAGAGUCCCUUGGACAGCAAGGAUAUCAAACCAGUCCAUCCUAAAGGAAAUCAACCCUGAAUAUUCAUUGGAAGGACUGAUGCUGAAGCUGAAACUCCAGCACUUUGGCCACCUGAUGUGAAAAGCUGGCUCAUUGGAAAAGACCCAGUCUUUCCCUGCUGGGAAAGAUUGAGGACACGGGGAGAAGUGGGUGACCGAGGAUGAGAUGGUUGGAUGGGAUCAUCGACUCAGUGGAUAUGAGUUUGAGGAAACUCCAGGAGAUAGUGAAGGACAGGGAAGCCUGGCGUGCUGCAGUCCAUGGGGUCACCAAGAAUUGGACAUGAUUGAGAAACUGAACAACAACAAAAAUCAAACUUCCUCGUUGCAUCAUGCAGGAUCUUUCAUUGUGGUGUGUGGACUCUCUCAUUGUGGCACGUGGACUCAGUGGUUGCAACACACAGGCUUAGUUCCUCUGAGGAACCCCACAGUAGGGGAACUUUUGGUCCCACACAACUUUGAGCCUCUCCUGAUAAACAGCCCAGCAGGUGUCUCAGUACUCUGAUUUACUUGCAGCUCGCCCGUCUGUCCAGCGUAAGUGACCCAAACAGCAGAAGGACGGGCCUUGUUUCUCAGUGUAUGGGCUUGGCAGUAUCUUGGCCCUUGUCCAAGUCACCAGAUACACUCUCCAUCAUUACCAUUAACAGCAACAGAUUAAAAUGCAACUAUUACAAAUCAGAAUCCACGCCAGCGCCUGAGUUGAUGAGUUGAGAGGAGAGGAGGACAGAAAGGAGAAAUCUAAAGGCAAGGUGCGGUGGGGGUGGGAGACCGCUUCUCCUUUUCUGCCCUUUCUCCAAAAACUUCCCUAGUUUGAUUUACCGUAUGCUCAGCCAUGUGUUCUCACACUCUCCUUUACCUUGAGAGCUGACUGUUAGACACACACAAGAGAAGAACAUGAAGGCCUCCAGAUAAAGUAGAUGCUGACACAAGAGAGUCCCAGUCCCUUGGUUUCUUUGACAGGGCUUUACCAGGCUGGAUGGAAGAAGGAAAGACCACCAGGAAAGCGCGUGGCUCAAGUGGAGCUAUAAACCAGCUCUGCACUCUUCCGAGGAUUUAUAUUCAACUGAAGACGCGUCCAAUGCAGGACGUUAUGGCUUUCUGCUUUCUUUUUGCUUACAUGGAGAAAUAACAGUUAAUAUAGUCAACUAUCCCAAGGCAGAAGACUAUUAUUAAAAAAGAAUACUUUGCAACAUUAUUGAUUUCUCAAGUCACUGUCAGAUAUUUUAAGAUUUGGAUUUAAUAAAACAUAAUAUGAUUUCUUUUAUGGGAUUUUUAUGUUUUCCCAGUCUUUAUCACCCUUGGGUGUUUCUUAGUUGAAAAUGAGAGUAUCUACCAAGUAUCAGCUGAACAAAUCCUGAUCUAAGUUAUAAAAACUUUUAUGGCCACACUGUCGUUUUCCUCCACUUACCUCUUUCUGUAAGCAGAUUUGUGGGGCAGGGGUCGUCCCUGGAGAAAGAGCACCAGGCAUGGCUUUCUUGACAUAAGAGGAGGGCUUGGCCCAAGCCCUUUAUGAUCUCAGCCUGGCCAUAAUGCUCGAUCUUGAACAGGUCUCAGUGAUAAAUAGUCUUAAGGGAACAAAAAAAAAAAAAGCAUAAAUAACAGACUGUUAACGGGCUAGAGAAAUAACAAGAGCAAAAAUAUUAGAUCUGUCGCAAAGACUUUCAGUUCUCUUUUGAUGGUAAAGACCAGCCUAAAGCACAGUCUUGAGCCAUUUUGUAGAAGCUAAAUGCCAACAACUAGAUCAACUGGAAUCUGAAGCAGAGCGGUAUUGACCUUUUCUGACCCUCUUGACUUCAAUCAACUGAAGCUUGGACUCUGCCUCCCAUCCAGGCCCCUUCAUGAAUAUGCAUGUACCAAUCGCUUAAGCGUCCCCUCUUUGCUGUUCAGAGAAAACACUGCUUUGGGAAAGAUCCCUAGUGUUCGCCUCAGUUGCAGUGAGUAAGAUGACCUUCUGCGAUUUGGCUUUUCUGUUUUUUGGCAAUACCACCAAAAGGCAAACCCAGUGUUCAGGUGACAAUUCUACGUCAUUGAGCCUUCUUUACAUUUAUUCAUAUUUUUCUAUAUACACAGCAUUUAAUAUAUAUACCCAGUAUGAUGUGGUACAGUGUGUAAGAGGAAAGAUUGGAGUAGCAAGGAUUCCUAAGUUGAUUUGGGGAGUGGGUAAAGAAAAUUUGGUCUUCCGUGAUAGCACAGAUGGUGAAGAAUCUGCCUGAAUUCAGGAGACCUGGGUUCAAUCCCUGGGAUGGGAAGAUCCCCUGGAGAAGGGAAUGGUAACCCUCUCCAGCAUUCUUGCCUGGAGAAUUCCACGGACAGAGGAGCCUGGUGGGCUACAGUCCAUGGGGUUGCAAAGAGAUGGAUACAACUAAGCGACUAACACAUACACACAAAGAAAACUUGGAGAGUCAUCUGAGCUGGACAGAAUGCUCUUUAAAGAAGAACCAUGUCUGUUCUCCACUCUCUACCUAGCACAUGGGAGCUCCUCUGCUAUCGCAAAAGGAUGUGGAAAUGGAAAAAGAAAUUGUUUUGGGUAGAAAUAACAGACGUUGUUGUUAUUAUGUCUGUAAGUCAUGUCUGAUUCUUUUGCAACCCUGUGGACUUAUAGACUGAGAAGAUCCCCUGUCCAUGGGGUUCUCCAGGCAAGAAUACUGGAGUGGGUACCCAUUUACUUCUUCAGGACAUCUUUUUGACUCAGGGAUUGAGCCUGCCUUUCCUACAUUGGCAGGAGGUUUCUUUACCACUGAAAGAAACCUCAGGGGAGCCCUGAAAUUAUUAACAGACAUCCUCAAAGGAGGAGGAAUGACAGAGAUUAACAUUUACUUUUUAUGAAGGCCCUAAAAUGUGCUAAAAAUGCCCAGAUUAAAGAUAAAUCUGAGGAGGGGUGAUUAGUUGUAUGUCCACACCUGGCAGCUCUGCAGUUUUCAGUUAUACUCAAAACGAGGUCAUUUACUUGGAAAGAAGCAGAUAUUUGGCAACAUAAUUGGGCUACAGCUGAAGCCCUCAAACCUCUAAACUCAAUCUGUACGAGGAAAUAAAUUCCCUUUGUUACUUAAGCCAGUUUCUGUUAUUUGCAACUGAAGGCAGCUGAGCUUUAUGUCAGGUAAGAUAAAGGUUAAAAACACAAAAAAGUGACAGGGUCUCCCUGUUCUGCUCUAAUGUGGUCUAAAGAAUAGUAGCAUCACCUUGGAACUUGUUAGAAAAGCCAAUUCUUGGGCCCCAUCCCAGAUCUGCUAAAUCCGAACCGCUGCAGCCCUGAUUGGCGCCUGACUUGUGUUCCCAACAAGCCGCAGGUGUUGCCGAUGCCCUUGGGAGGC